rnacentral:rRNA from 1 species
UGGGGAAUCUUGGACAAUGAGGGGCAACCCUGAUCCAGCCAUGCCGCGUGAGUGAUGAAGGCCUUAGGGUCGUAAAGCUCUUUCGCCUGUGAAGAUAAUGACGGUAGCAGGUAAAGAAACCCCGGCUAACUCCGUGCCAGCAGCCGCGGUAAUACGGAGGGGGUUAGCGUUGUUCGGAAUUACUGGGCGUAAAGCGCACGUAGGCGGACCAGAAAGUUGGGGGUGAAAUCCCGGGGGCUCAACCCCGGAACUGCCUCCAAAACUAUUGGUCUAGAGUUCGAGAGAGGUGAGUGGAAUUCCAAGUGUAGAGGUGAAAUUCGUAGAUAUUUGGAGGAACACCAGUGGCGAAGGCGGCUCACUGGCUCGAUACUGACGCUGAGGUGCGAAAGUGUGGGGAGCAAACAGGAUUAGAUACCCUGGGUAGUCCACACCGUAAAACGAUGAAUGCCAGUCGUCGGGUAGCAUGCUAUUCGGUGACACACCUAACGGAUUAAGCAUUCCGCCUGGGGAGUACGGUCGCAAGAUU